UUGGCUUAAGCUUCAAGAUGAAGAAGAGAGCGACCGAUGGUGAGGGUUUGGUGAAGGAAGACGGGAAGCAGUUUUCGUAGCUGAUGCUCUUAACCGUCCUUGAGAGAGAGUGGUGGGUAGUGUGAUAUUAUUUUAAUAACGAUUUCUCAUUUUAAUAUUCGGUUUACUGUUAUAUGAUUUGUCGUUAGAGUACAAGGGGAUUAUAAUUUUAGGCUCACCAAUCAUUAAGAACAAUUAAUAUAUUUGUAGUUGUAGAAUUAAUGUAGAGGAAAACCAUCCCAUCACCACACACAGGAGAGGAGGUAAAAAGCAGUUUCUCGUAAUUUCCUAAUUUUCUUACAAAAUGAGUUAAAGAAGGUUACUGCAAUCUUAUUAAUUUGAUGAGAUCAACAGGAAUUGAAAGGAACUUGUAUACUAAAUUUUUAUUUAUAACUUUUAAAUGUUAGCCCUGCUCGUUAGCUGACACGGUGACGAGCGUUCAAAACUAAAGGAACAAAAACAGAAUUCAAAAGGCAAAAAUAAAAGAUUUGGUGAAAGAAUCUUUGGGUUUCUCAACGCUGGGAAGAGAGAGAAACAUAUAAACAAGCCUCUCUUUUAAUUAGCGACACCUGAACCACCAAAUUCUUUUAUUAUUUUGCCGCUGCGUCUUCUGUUUUACACUCCGGCGACCAGAAAAGAAAAAAAUCAUGCCUAAUUUUUAGUCGCUGACGCCAGUCGUGGCGAUCUCGAAACGAACAAAGCUGUUGUUUAUUACAAAAGAUUUGAGUCCUUUUUGGUUAAUCAGCAGAGGAUUUUUAUAGAAACUUUAUUUAUUACUACUUGAAAUUAUUUGUAGUAUUUAUAUGUAUAUAAAUAUCAUUUAAAUUUCUAUUCGAAUUCUUAUAGAUUUAAUAAAUAAUUAGAUUUUUUUACUAUAAACGUUACCAAUUAAUCUGUCACUAAUAUCCAAUGUUCAAAAAAUAUGUCACUAAAUUGUUUAAUUUAACAUAUUUAGACUAAUUUAGAUCGGUUUAAACCGAUUUAGAACAGUUUAAAUCGAUAGAAAUCAAUAUAAAUCAGAAUUUAAGAAAAUUGUUUCGGAUGAAACCGAGUUGCCACCUAAACCGAUUUUUAAGACCCUGCUAAUCUACUAAUAAUAGCAAUCCCAAUUAAUUCUAAAGGUUGUGUGCUUUUAUAGGAAAUUUGGAAUCUCAAUUUUUGUUAAAGGUUGUGUUUGUUCAUUAAUGUGUCUUUUGAUUAAAGGUUGUAUCUCUUCAGUAGUUUCUAAUCUCAAUUUUUUUUUCACAUUUAUUGGAAUGUUUUCAUUUUUUUAUUUAAAUGUAUACAACUUUACUAGUAAUCUUAAAUAAUUCCAACAUAUAUGUCUUUUCAUUAUAAUUUACUUAUGACUGUUUAUUAAUAACCAUUAAUGGUAGGUACUUUUUAGUUUAUAACUGUUUUCACUUUUUAAAAUUGUAUCUUUCUAAUUUAUGUCUUUUCAAUUAUAUUUAAGGGUGUCUUUUCUAAAAUUUUUAUUUUGUAAGGUUGUGUCUUUUCCAAUUAAUUCCUAAGGUUGUGAACUUUAGUUAUGUUGAAAGGUUGUGUCUUUUGAAGAUAAGUGUAGAGAGUUGUGUCUUUUCUAAAAGUUCUAUGUUGUAAGGUUGUGUUCUUCUAAAAAUUAUCUAAAAGUUGUGACUAUUCAUAAGUAUCUUUUAAAAAGUGAAAAAUUGUGAGUAUUAGAAGAAUGCGACUAUUCAGAUUAAAGGGUUUUGACUAUUCAAAUAGGUUUUAAAAAAUCUAUAAAUAGUUUCUCCCAUGCAUUUUUCAAAUUAAUUUUUCACUAAUCUACUUGUUUUUCAAAAGUAGUAUUAUAUGUAUUGUGUGUUUAAUGUCUGCUAUGGAUUGUGUGUUUCAUAACUGUAAAUUAUUUUUUCUGUUUAAUACUACUUUUGACUUGGAAAUAUUUUAUAUUUUCCACUUAUUUAUUUUCAACCUAAAUGUUUUUAAAAAAUUGUUAAAAAAAUUAUUAGAACCAUUUAAAUGAAUUAUUUGCAAUCAUUUAAAUAAAUUAUUAUUCAUUUAAAUAAAUUAUUAUUAUAAUAGUUUGGAUGAAUAUUUGUAACUGUUUAAAUGAACCAAUACAAUUUUUGAUUGUUAACCAUUGCAAUCUUUGGUGGUUAACCAUUGCAAUUUUUGGUCUCUAUAUAUAUAAUAGUUGUGAACAAUGAAAAAGAUGCAACAAAAUAUUGAAAAAAAGAAAGAGAUCGAUUUUUUUUAAAUAAACACUAUUUCAAGGCCAGAAGAUAACAAUCCCAUAGGGAGAGACAGACAAUGUCACAAUAAUGAAACGAAACCCCAAAAAAGAAAGAAAUAGGCUCGGUGUUUGUGGGAAUAAGAAAAAGUAACUGUUUCCUUUCAAUAAAAAAAGGAAUCUCCAACAGAGAUUGCAUAUCCAAUUGUAUUGAAAGGAUGUGAUAUGAUAACUCUUAAAUUCAUAUUUGCAACUGAAUCUGCGUGAAAUUGUGAAUUCAACAACUGAUUAAAGAGAGAAAGCAUUGAUUUUGAAAAACGUGUUCGAUGCAAUAAUGAUACGAGGAGAAAAGGAGUGAAUUGUGUGAUGGAAUUGAUCAAACACCAAUCACAGUUAUUGAAGUAAAUUAAAAUUAGUGAAAAUUAAGGGGCAAGGGAGCCACGGAAAACGCCGGCAGCAGCCCCAAAGUCAGAGCAAAUGAGAGGUGCUCCCUGUUCUUCUUUGGAUCGUCGUGAGAGAGAGAAACAGUUACAAGAUUACACACGAGUUUUACUACUUACAAAUGAAAUUUUGUUUGUAUCUUUAGAAAAUGCAUGUGUUUCAAAGAUAUUAAAAGCACAUGAAAAAUGGUAAGAUGCAAUGAAAAAGCAUCACUUUAGUGAUACACAGUAUUAAUCGGAAACUAGAUUCUGACCCACCCUUAAAACAAUGAAUAUAUUUUUUGUUUUACAUUUUUUUUAUAAAUUUAGUUUUUAUAUUUAUGACUUUUAGUUAUAUUUGUGCUUUUCUUUGUAUAUUUAUAACAUGUGUACUUUUGGAAAGCAUUUGGUACAACAGAUAUUUUAUAAAAUAUAUGAUAUAUCUAUUUUUAUAAAAAUGAGUUUUCGUGCGAUAUCGCACGAGUUCUUUACCUAGUAUCAUUAGGCUAACUAUAUCCAAAGGAGUCGGUCGCUAAUCAUUGUUAUUGGGCUUGAAGAUGAGCCCAUGUAAAAAAUGCUUCUUUCAGCGAGACAUGAUUUUCUGAGCAAUCCCCGAAGCUAACUCCGAACCUCAAACUGUUUUCUUCACCGCCUACAAAAAAGUUGGUUGGUUAUUAAGCAUCCCUGGUUCACGCCUUUUUGGCGGUUGUUGGUAGUUUAGUAUCGAUUUAUGAUCGAACCCGGUCCGACCAGCGUGUAUGGAAAAAUUGAGUGGUUUAAUUUGCCAAUUAUCUAGAAGAACCUCGCUAAACCCCUCCCUCCAACUUUCUCGGCAUCCUCCGGCGGAAGAAGAUUCUCCGGUACACUCAUAUGUUUAUGCAAGAGUUUGAGUUAGGCUUUCCAGUAGAAUAGCUAUAGUUUCAGAUCCGAAUUGGGUUUAAAAUUUCGAACUUUAAUUACUGUUUCUGCUCUUACUUACUGAUUCUAUCUUUGAAGUUGUAAGAUGAGAACUUUCUUUUCACUGAUUAGGAAUCAUCUGGUUGAAGAGUGAGUUAGGUGUGUGUGAGUUUGUCAUUGUCUGGUUUGAGAAACUUUGUUAAUCGUCAUGGAAGAUAUGUUAGUCCAUUUUUCUUUUUUGGUAGUUAGGGGACUUGAAUCUUGAAGAUAUGCUCAAUGCUGCAUCACCUGGUAUUGACGAAAUAGUGACAUAAAUAUUCUUUUUCUUCACUACUGAGUUUGUCAGUGUAACCAUCCCAACGGUAACACCAUUCUCUUACUUGUUCAUAAAGAUCAUUUAGUUUACAUGUGGUUACUGAGACACUUAGCUUUAUUCUUCUACCACAUUAAGGAUAACUUUGAAUAUAAGUCGGUCUCUCCUUCUGGCAUGUUCACUUGGCUAUUACCUUUCCUUUUAGGUCAUGGCAAUAAACGAGUCUUUGGGAUUACAUGCAUCUUUAAGAAAAGAAAAUGUGGCCAGUUCACAGGCUUGUUGUUAAUCAUCUUCUCCCUCGUUCUGAAUCCGACUGCAAAUUUUGCUCAGUGAGACGAAAGGUAGCUCUAAUUUCAGGUAAUGCUUUUAUGGAUAGCCGCGGGUUUGGUGUGCGAUUCUUGUGAGUUCAGUUGCGUUUGCUUUGGUGCAUUUUAAUGAUGUUUUGGUGUUCCUUGGAGUGGUUUUGGGUUUGAUAUUCGCAAGGUCAAGGAACUUGUUACCUUCGAUGUUGUUGCAUAGCUUGUGGAAUGGCUUUGUGUUCAUGGAAUUAAUGCGAUGGAGAUAUCUUCUGUAGGUGUCUGUUUUUUACCUUCUUAUUCUUGUAAUUGAUUCAUGUUAUGAUUUGUAGUAUUCUUUUAAUUAAAUGGACAGUUCAGUUGUAAAAAGAAAAGAAAAAUGUCAAAAAGAAGAAAAGGAAAUGAGAAAUUUUCAAAAAAAAAAAAGAAAGAAGUUUAGCACUUUUAAAUCAAAUAGAAAAAGAAAGACCAUACUGAAAUAUUAAUCUAUACAGCAAAAAGUUUUGGUACAAAAAGAAAAAGAUUAAACUGGUUAUACUUUGAUUUCGUCUUUUUGAUCUUUGUAAACGAUUGGAUUAAGCUUCCAUCUUGAUAGAUAUGAAGCAUAUCAUAUGAAAAUGACAUUCACAUAAUAUAUAUAUCUAUAUAGGCAAGAUGUGAAUAAGUAAAAAAGAAAAACAUGAAGUGCAUGUCUUGUAGCUUCUAAGUCUUAUCAUUAUCUCAGUUUAAGGUGGUGAUAUCAGUUAUCCGCCCCUUGAGCUCGAUUAAGGCCAACUAAUCCUUCUUCAACUUAUAAAUCCAUUACUAAUACUGACAAAAAAAAAUCCAUUAGUUAUAACUCUUUUUACUUUUUUUUUUAAUUCCACUUAUCGCGAAAGGUUUGGAUUUUUAAACAACUUUCCCAAAUCUUUUCUUCCUCUUUUCUAUGUAUAAUAUCCAAGUAUAGUAUACAUGCCAUACUUAGCGAAGAGUUUAUAUCUAUUAAUAUUAGCCUUACACAUGUUCAUGGAGCUUAUAUUAUUCUAUAUAGAACACUUUGUUUAAUCCCUAGUUAUAACUUUUUGUUUUGUAAUAAAAUAUUUAAAUAACUUGGUCUUACCGGCUGCCCUCGAGUUGCAAACUUAGUUUUGAUUAAUAUAUAACACACUACGGUAGAAGUUUACUUUUGGCUGCGUAUCUUUUUGCUUAUUUGCAUAUCUCCGCAAAGACUAAUGCAAGAAAUGAAUUCAACGUAAGUCCAUAUUAAAAAUAUAGCUUAGAUAGACUCGGACCAAACAUCGACCUCCUCGGGAUAGCGGGGAAUGUAUAAUUUGGUCAGCCGAAGCCAUCGCCGUCAAAUCAGACACAUUAAUUUGGUCAACAAAUUCGGGGAUCAACCCUCCGAUCUAUGUUAAUAUGUAUGGUUGGUUUUAUAUAUGUGUUUGUUGGUUAACUAAAACUCCACUCACAUAUAAAUGUAUAUUACAAUAUGAGUAGAUGAAUUUAUUAAGAUUGUGAUACUUUCUUUCUCUAAUCUUAUAAAGUUGCCUAGAGCGAUAUUUAUAGUGACCAAAGAUAUAAAAUAAGCUAGAGUGAUUGUAUUCUCACUUGUUUGCUUAUCAAUUGAGUGUAUAUCACACCUAAAUAUCGAAUCAGUUAUUUUUACUGUUUUAUAGACAAAGUUGGGUUAUAGAUCUCAUACUUUACUAGAGAAACUAAAUAAUUAAUUAAUUUAAUUGAUUUGUAAGUUUCAAUAUUUCUAAAUACAGGCAGACUUACCGGUCCUUUGUAAAACACUAAACAAUAAAUUGAACUAAAAUGUUUACUUUCUUAUUUAAACUGACAAUAAUAUUAUGGUUUAGAGAAUGAUGUAGUUGAAUGCUUAUGUAAUUGGCUGCUUAUGAGUCGGCACUUCUUAAUACAUCGUUUGGUUAUUUAAAUAUGAUCACCUGUGGCGAAAUUGGAUGAUUUGGCUGUCGACAAGAUGUGGUAGCCUCUUUGGCACUAGGAUUCUGAAUUGCAACAUAUAACUUUGUAUAAACAUAUAUUAGGAAAGUACAAUUUGAAGAAGGAACAAAGAUUCGUAAAAUGAAAAUGACAGAAGAUAAUUUAUAAUGGAAAAGAUAAAUAUAAAGUCCGCGAAGCAGCUAGUGUUUGUGUAAUUAAUAUCUAGUAACUCUUAUUUUUAUCAUUGUAUAUUCAUCGGCGAGCUUUGUUACCUUUGAACAUUGAAUUUCAAGAUAGGCAUAACAAUCAAGAAGAAUCUUAGUUGGCAAUUUGUAAACAA